GACGAACGCUGGCGGCGUGCUUAACACAUGCAAGUCGAACGGAAAGGCCCUGCUUGUGUGGGGUGCUCGAGUGGCGAACGGGUGAGUAACACGUGAGUAACCGGCCCUUGACUUUGGGAUAACUUCAGGAAACGGGGGCUAAUACCGGAUAGGAGCUCCUGCUGCAGGGUGGGGGGGGGAAAGUUUCGGCGGUUGGGGAUGGACUCGCGGCUGAUCAGCUUGUUGGUGGGGUAGUGGCUUACCAAGGCUUUGACGGGUAGCCGGCCUGAGAGGGUGACCGGCCACAUUGGGACUGCGAUACGGCCCAGACUCCUACGGGAGGCAGCAGUGGGGAAUCUUGCCCAAUGGGCGGAAGCCUGAUGCAGCAACGCCGCGUGCGGGAUGACGGCCUUCGGGUUGUAAACCGCUUUCGCCUGUGACGAAGCGUGAGUGACGGUAAUGGGUAAAGAAGCACCGGCUAACUACGUG
rnacentral:rRNA from 1 species